GGGUGUACAAGGGUUGAGGGUGAGGUCUCCUCUUGUAAAAUUUUAUUUUCAUAGUGAAGUUUGCAUGCCCCGUGGAGGCGAGCCCUUUUAUGGCUGAUCCACGUAUUUUGAUUAUUUUCUUUUAUUUUGUUUCUUCUUUCUUCCUGCUGCAUCGCGUGGUACUGAAAAGAUCUUGAGAGGUGGUGUCCUGGCUAGACAUCCACCCAACACAUCACACCUGAGCUCACAACAAGUUGAUCAGACCUAAUUAUGUGGUUACUAAUUAAGAAAUUUAAAAAUUAUUCUCACAUAGGAGAAAGUCUUUUAUAUUCUGAUACUCUUGCUCUUAAUCCAAUUGGAGA
rnacentral:lncRNA from 1 species